CCCAAUCCAUUGCUUUUUGACGUCAAUAAGACUGUGGCUCUUUCAAGGACGUGCAUUUAUCUUGUCAAUGUGGUCUAACCAACCAGCCUUGCUUCUCUGCUCUGAUCUCUCACAGGAUGUUCUUGAUGAUCUGGGAAAAAAGAAAAGGCCCACUGAAGUUCCUGGCUUCUAUGAUGUCAUGUGGCAUUCAACUCUUUAAACUAAAUCUGUAUAAUGAAAGCAAAUUUUCCUUUUCAAGAGCCUGGAAAUGCAUCACUUCACUAAAAAAGUACCUUUUUUGUGUGUGAUAUGGAGUAUACAAACUGAUCCGUUGGAACGCAAAAUUAUAACGUACAGAUUUAUGCAAGAGGGAUGACUGCAAAGUGCGUUGCAUGAGUAGUGUAAGAAGCUGAAAAUUGCUGCUGUUGUAGCUGUCAUAGACAUGUUAUUUUCUUUGGUAUGUGUGGAGUUUUUGCUGUCAGGCUUUUAUCCUGCAGAUUGUUUGUGCUGCACCUCUCUUCCUGCUUAAAAUAGAAAAUCAGUCACUGAACCUGGAUACUAUUAAGUGUUCUUAGAAUAGUUCUUAACUAACUUGGUUGAUUUGUGCUUUCUGAUGAAAGAACAUUUGGUUGUUUAUUGCAGGCUCUGAACAAACAUGUUCUUCCAAAAUCAACAAAUAAAAUUACAUAUUGCAUUGCAUCAACAGAAUUGUUUACCGUACAGAUAUUCCUUGCCAUAUAAUAUUUAUCUGUUUAGUUGGUAUGUUUUUAUUUUGAAAGAUCUGGAGUUUAUCU